rnacentral:rRNA from 1 species
AUACGGAGGGUGCAAGCGUUAAUCGGAAUUACUGGGCGUAAAGGGUUCGUAGGCGGUUAUUUAAGUCAGAUGUGAAAGCCCCGGGCUCAACCUGGGAAUUGCAUCUGAUACUGGGUAACUAGAGUUUAAGAGAGGAGUGUGGAAUUUCCGGUGUAGCGGUGAAAUGCAUAGAGAUCGGAAGGAACAUCAGUGGCGAAGGCGGCACUCUGGCUUAAAACUGACGCUGAGGAACGAAAGCGUGGGUAGCAAACAGGAUUAGAAACCCUAGUAGUCCC